AAUGAGAACUUGUUCUCAACUGGCCUACCUGGUUAAAUAAUGGUGAAAUAAAAAAAAGAACUGCAACGCUGCUGGGGUUUUCAUACUCUAAUGUUUCCUGAGUGUAUCAAGGAUGGUCCACCACCAAAAGGACAUCCAGCCAACUUGACACAACUGUGGGAAGCAUUGGGAGUCAACAUGGGACAGCAUCCCUGUGGAAUGCUUUCAACACCUUAUAGUCCAUGCCCCGAAGAAUUGAGUCUGUUCUGAGAGAAAAACUGGGUGCAAAUCAAUAUUAGGAAAUGUGUUCCUAAUAUUUGUAUUGUCAUUUCCCCACCUAACUGAAAUAAUGUACAUUUUCUUCCAGGAUAGAAAAUACACACUCUCUUCAAGUAGGAGAGAAAGCCAUCACACUGGCCUGUCCUUCUUCUCUGCCUGACCAAGUAAUACAACCCCUCCAACCUGCAGUAGAUUUCCCCAUUAUGUAACUAUGGGCCCAACAAACCCAGUUUCCACAACCCUGCUGUCUAACCCUUCUUCCAUAACCCUGUCUUAGCCAGUGCUUCACCCAUUCUUCCCAUUUAAUCCCCUGCCCACAUUGCCCCCUGAUCAGCCUCCGAGCCCUGGUAUCCAUGUUACUUCUCCCUUGACUACAGGCCCUUCUGUCCAUCCUCCCCUGGCUCAGCGUCUUCAGGCCUACCCAUUCUAUUAGUAUUACUACCUCCACAAGAUGCCCCUCAGUGAGUCAUACCAGUCACCCCUCUCCUCUAGUCCCCCCACUCAACUCCCAACUACAGGCCUCACUGAGUUGAAGCCAGGCCACACUCCUAUCCCAAGCCACCCCAACUACAAUAACCCCCAUUUUACUCAGUAUUCUUGCACUACAGCUGGUCAUCCAGUUCACUCUGAAGCCCCACUCUCCGAACCCCUGAGUAUACUCUCCACCCAUACUAGCAUCACCCCUAAAUCCCUAUGCUUGAGCCACCUCAAGGGCCCAGUCCUGGUGCCAAGAUGGGUACUUCCACCAAUGGUCCUCAGGUUGAACCACCUGCCCCUCACACCCCUAACCCGGUGUUUCCACACUACUACCUCGACCACCCCAAAGUGCCUCCCUAUAACCCACCCAACUCCCUCAGCCUGAUAGCCCUGCCUCUCACUCUACUCUCCCUGUUAGCAGUUCACAAACACACCGUAGAACUCCUGUUCCUCAUGUGCCUCACCCUCCACCCUACCCUAUUUUAUUCAUCUUCAACCUUUGAAACCUAUCACUUCCCCUAACUCAUCUCCCACCUUAACAGAGAUCCCAUUCUACCAAUACACUCUUCAUUUUCCUUACAAGCCUCCACUGAUCCAGAAACACAGAAUCAGUCUCCAGACCAACAAUCCCUCUAGACCCAUGGACGAACAACCUCCAGUUGUCCCAUCUCCCCCUGCGUCGUCUCCUGAUCAAAGUGGAAAGUCACACCCUCAUGGUCACCUGAAAUGGCCUCCACAACAACAGCCCUCCAAUUCACACACAGCCCAGAGUCUGUCUACCAGUUCAACCUCUGUUGCCUGUGCUGCAACCGAACCUCUUCUCUUUCCAAAUUUCCCCCUGUUGUACUACCUCCAUCUCAAAUCACCCAUCAGCAACCCUCAACAAGAACAAAACCCUGUUACUGUCCUCCCCACUGCUCUGCCUGCACCCUCUUCAACCUCUACUCCAGCAUCUGGUCAUCCAGGUUAUCCACACUACUACGAUCACACAUACUAUUACUACUCAAUCCCUUCUGAUCCAUACAGAUUACCUCAACCUGUUGAUCAUGCAUCUUCUGCCCCAUCGAAAGGAGCUCCGACUCCUCCAUCUCAGACCUCUGCUCCUCACACUAUGGAGACUUCUCACCAACUAGCCCUUCCAUAUGACUACGCCCAGGCCAAAAUGCCUAUCCAGAUUACUACCCAACCUCGGCCUUCUCCUGCCACUAACAGUCCUCAAACCUCCACUCCAACCCCAGAAUCUACAGCUCCUGAAAUCCCACCUUUUCCCUUUGACCCUUACUACUACUACUACCAUCCUGGAAUGUCCAUCUACGACCAGGACCAAAGCUAUGAUCCCAGUACACACGCCGAAAAGACAUCAGGGGCUCAAGCUUCCCUAGAUUCUGACCAUUAUAGAAGAGGAAGAUUUGCCCACAUUCCUGUGGCGAGUCCAACCCAUGCACCCCAUCCUACCACCAACCCAGGUCAUGGUCAGGCCAUGGUUUGGUCAUGGUCAGGCCAUGGUUUGGUCAUGGUCAGGCCAUGGUCCACUUGUUGGAGUUCAACGCUCUACUUUCCACACAACAUAAACACAGCACCACGUCUGAAGACUCACCUGUCCGGUAAAGCCAUUUUACUACCUGAACAAAUGGUUCAAAUCCCCAGCAAAUGUAUUUCAUUAUUUUUCCCAGAAGUUACCAUUUGAAUGCUAAUGCUUUCAAACCAUGAUGAUGAACUUGCAAUCCUUUAGUACAUAUGGGAUGAGAUUACAAAUCGGUGUAGAGUUUGUGUAACAUGAGCUUGUCUUCUGUGUAGGUUGAUGGAGUGCAGGUCUUCUCCUGAUUCUCCAGGGAGGGUGAGGUACCAGGUGAGGAACACCACCCCUGUCCCCACUCAGGGCUCAUUGGCUGUCCAGCUACGAAUCGCUAUAGAUGAGCACUACAGCAGCUUCUACUCAGAGAAACAUCGACCACUCAGUCUACUUCAGGGGCGACCUCUGCACCUGGAGGUGAGUCUGCUGAGCCCCCCAGACAUGUACCCUGGCCUGGUGCACUACUGUCUGGCCUACCCAGACACACCACAGGCCCGCUGGCUGCUCAUCUAUGAUGGCUGUCCCAGCCGUGGUGACUUCCAGGCUCCUCCCCCACCCCGUCACACCCGGAGGCUCACAAUCACCACCUUCCAGUCUUUACCCACAGGAAGUCACUCCCACCUGGAGGACCAGGUCAGUUUCAGCCAAUGGGGGCAUAUUAUAGACUGAGUUUGAUUCAGUGCAUUUGAAUGUGUUCUCCUGUCCUCGUCCACAACAGCUCUACUUCAUGUGCUCCCCAGCAGAUGGGGACUGUAUUGAGGAUUGCUUCAGUGGUUGAAUUAACACUCCUAUAAUGGCUUGGACAAUUUUGAGCACAAGGUGGGAGUAUAAACCAUCCAUUUCUUGAAGUUAUUAAAAUGUACUGUAUUAAUACUGAAGUGCUCAAAUGUACUUGUUUCUUACAGUAUUCAACUUGACACUCAUGUCUAAGUUACAUGAACUAUUACUCAUUUGUAGGAUCAAACCUGGACAACUGAACAAAUACACGUUUACUCACAAUUGGUCAAUGAUUUGUUCUCCUCCAGCACUUAUUCAGUCAGGCAGUAAGCACAAUGAC